GGCGAUCAGAUACCGCCCUAGUUCUGACCGUAAACGAUGCCAACUAGCGAUCCGCCAGUCGACUCAUCGCUCUGGUGGGGAGCUUCCCGGAAACGAAAGUCUUCCGGUUCCGGGGGAAGUGUGGUUGCAAAGCUGAAACUUAAAGGAAUUGACGGAAGGGCACCACCAGGAGUGGAGCCUGCGGCUUAAUUUGACUCAACACGGGGAAACUCACCCGGCCCGGACACCGUAAGGAUUGACAGAUUGAUAGCUUUUUCAUGAUUCGGUGGAUGGUGGUGCAUGGCCGUUCUUAGUUCGUGGAGCGAUUUGUCUGGUUUAUUCCGAUAACGAGCGAGACUCUGGCCUACUAAAUAGUUGACGCAUUGCCACUGUGCGCACAACUUCUUAGAGGGAUUUUCGGUGUUUUCAACCGCACGAAAUUGAGCAAUAACAGGUCUGUGAUGCCCUUAGAUGUCCGGGGCUGCACGCGCGCUACACUGGCAAACGCAACGUGCCUGUCCUGCCCCGAAAGGAGCGGGUAAACCCCUGAAAUUUUGCCGUGAUUGGGAUCGGACAUUGCAACUAUUGUCCGUGAACGAGGAAUUCCUUGUAGGGGCGAGUCAUCAACUCGUCCCGAAUACGUCCCUGCCCUUUGUA
rnacentral:rRNA from 1 species